rnacentral:rRNA from 1 species
CAGGUGGUCAGGUAGAGAAUACCAAGGCGCUUGAGAGAACUCGGGUGAAGGAACUAGGCAAAAUGGUGCCGUAACUUCGGGAGAAGGCACGCUGACAUGUAGGUGAAGCCCCUGCGGGUGGAGCUGAAGUCAGUCGAAGAUACCAGCUGGCUGCAACUGUUUAUUAAAAACACAGCACUGUGCAAACACGAAAGUGGACGUAUACGGUGUGACGCCUGCCCGGUGCCGGAAGGUUAAUUGAUGGGGUUAUCGCAAGAGAAGCUCCUGAUCGAAGCCCCGGUAAACGGCGGCCGUAACUAUAACGGUCCUAAGGUAGCGAAAUUCCUUGUCGGGUAAGUUCCGACCUGCACGAAUGGCGUAAUGAUGGCCAGGCUGUCUCCACCCGAGACUCAGUGAAAUUGAACUCGCUGUGAAGAUGCAGUGUACCCGCGGCAAGACGGAAAGACCCCGUGAACCUUUACUACAGCUUGACACUGAACAUUGAGCCUUGAUGUGUAGGAUAGGUGGGAGGCUUUGAAGCGUGGACGCCAGUCUGCGUGGAGCCGACCUUGAAAUACCACCCUUUAAUGUUUGAUGUUCUAACCUGGCGCCGUGAUCCGGCGUGGGGACAGUGUCUGGUGGGUAGUUUGACUGGGGCGGUCUCCUCCCAAAGUGUAACGGAGGAGCACGAAGGUCAGCUAAUCCUGGUCGGACAUCAGGAGGUUAGUGCAAUGGCAUAAGCUGGCUUGACUGCGAGAGUGACGGCUCGAGCAGGUGCGAAAGCAGGUCAUAGUGAUCCGGUGGUUCUGUAUGGAAGGGCCAUCGCUCAACGGAUAAAAGGUACUCCGGGGAUAACAGGCUGAUACCGCCCAAGAGUUCAUAUCGACGGCGGUGUUUGGCACCUCGAUGUCGGCUCAUCACAUCCUGGGGCUGAAGUAGGUCCCAAGGGUAUGGCUGUUCGCCAUUUAAAGUGGUACGCGAGCUGGGUUUAGAACGUCGUGAGACAGUUCGGUCCCUAUCUGCCGUGGGCGCUGGAGAAUUGAGGGGGGCUGCUCCCAGUACGAGAGGACCGGAGUGGACGCAUCACUGGUGUUCGGGUUGUCAUGCCAAUGGCACUGCCCGGUAGCUAAAUGCGGAAGAGAUAAGUGCUGAAAGCAUCUAAGCACGAAACUUGCCCCGAGAUGAGUUCUCCCUGAGACUAUAAGUCUCCUGAAGGAACGUUGAAGACGACGACGUUGAUAGGCCGGGUGUGUA